rnacentral:lncRNA from 1 species
CUGAAAAUAAUUUUUCUUCCUUGGUUACAGAGUGAUGUUUCUGGAAUCUGGAAUUUUUUAGAAGCUAAACCUGAGCAAGAACUACACUUUGGCUCCUGUAUACAAGAAACAGCACAAAAGGCAUGUCAUGCUCAAAUCCAAACAAAGCCAUGAAAAAGUUGCCUGUAACUGACUGUCCGUGUGAUCUGGCAUUCAAUAUCAUUCAGAAAGAUGCAAAGGCGAGUCUAAAGAACAGGAGUAUUUCUAUGAGGGCUGGUCAGCUCCAAAGAGGUGCAUUCAAGCUGCACAGUCAAUUUCUACACUAUUUAUUCAACACAAGCCAAACGAUGGAGAAUUGAGGGAGACGAAAAAUGAGAGCCUGCCAAGAAUAUGUAGGUAUCAUCUUUUGAUUCCACAACAGCUGGCAAUAUGAACUCAAAGAUGAGGCUCAUUCAUCUUCAGUGCCUUAGCUUCCUCCCUCUGUGGUAAGGUUGCUGGUUUCCAUGGAGUGGAAAGACUGUGCUGCCUAUGAUGACACAGACCCUACCCUCCACUCUGCCAGCCCCAGAUGGCACCAGCCACCAGCCAGUCCUGUAAAACCAUCAAGUGUGCUGCAACCCUUUCAAGAAAUAUUUUUAAUAUCUGUGGGACAUCUUUAUUUGUGUGCAAAAUUAACUUCAGGCAACAUUUAGGAGAUGGUUAUUGUUUUAUAAGCAAUGUGUGGCUGAUUGUUAGAUCUGUACUAUUGCCUCCAUUAUAAAAAAAAUGUAAAAUCCAAGUNNNNNNNNNNNNNNNNNNNNNNNNNNNNNNUAUAUAUAUGUGUGUGUGUGUGUGUGUGUGUGUGUGUAUUGCACAGUGAAAAACUGAUUUUGUAGAAUAAUAACCAAAAGCAUUCAUGUUUUUCUACAUUAUAUGAAUUAGUACUUAUGUUUAUAAUGGUCUGCAGAUUUUCCCUACGUGUACAAACAUGUA